UCCCUGGUGGCUCAGUGGGUAAAGAAUCUGCCUGCAGGAGACCCAGGUUCAAUUCCUGGGUUGGGAA
rfam:TPA: Bos taurus chromosome 19, whole genome shotgun sequence.